CUUCUUUGCUGGCGACCGGCGCACGGGUGAGUAACACGUAUCCAACCUGCCCUUUACUCGGGGAUAGCCUUUCGAAAGAAAGAUUAAUACCCGAUAGUAUAAUGAUUCCGCAUGGUUUCAUUAUUAAAGGAUUCCGGUAAAGGAUGGGGAUGCGUUCCAUUAGGUUGUUGGUGAGGUACGGCUCACCAAGCCUUCGAUGGAUAGGGGUUCUGAGAGGAAGGUCCCCCACAUUGGAACUGAGACACGGUCCAA
rnacentral:rRNA from 1 species